ACUCCUACGGGAGGCAGCAGUAGGGAAGUCUUCCACAAUGGGCGCAAGCCUGAUGGAGCAACACCGCGUGAGUGAAGAAGGGUUUCGGCUCGCAAAGCUCUGUUGUUAAAGAAGAACACGUAUGAGAGUAACUGUUCAUACGUUGACGGUAUUUAACCAGAAAGUCACGGCUAACUACGUGCCAGCAGCCGCGGUAAUACGUAGGUGGCAAGCGUUAUCCGGAUUUAUUGGGCGUAAAGAGAGUGCAGGCGGUUUUCUAAGUCUGAUGUGAAAGCCUUCGGCUUAACCGGAGAAGUGCAUCGGAAACUGGAUAACUUGAGUGCAGAAGAGGGUAGUGGAACUCCAUGUGUAGCGGUGGAAUGCGUAGAUAUAUGGAAGAACACCAGUGGCGAAGGCGGCUACCUGGUCUGCAACUGACGCUGAGACUCGAAAGCAUGGGUAGCGAACAGGAUUAGAUACCCU
rnacentral:rRNA from 1 species